CCCCAUGUUAAAAAUAUACAGUAAUUUAACAUAAGUGAACAUUCCCAUUUCAGGAUAUUGAACCAUUAUCCUUGACAAAAGGGAAGAGAAUAUUUUGGAAGAUGGCAUGGCUGGUUGGCUUGGACACUGAACGGGAGUGCUCUGCACUGCAACAUUGUGCUGCAGAUCCAACUUCUGUUACUGAAUGUAAAGCACGUAAGGAGACAUCGUUCGUGCACUUCAAGUCCCUGUGAAUUACAGAUUAAUUUGCACUUUGUGGAGAAUAAAUGUAAAGCCUUCGGAUCAAUGAAUCCCCACCUUCUCUCAUAGAUUAGAAUGUAUGUGAGGACAGUGACAGAGGAAAAGGCCUAGCUUUAAAUACUGGAGUGACUGCACAGAACAAGAAAAUCCUAGUUAAAGGCUUUGAGUAAUAUAUUUGCUUUGAUCAUGCUAAUGACCAUUUUAUAACUCGUACAAUGCCUAAUGUGACAGACUGGAAACAAGGGAAGCUUCUUUGCUCUGAGACUGAAUAUUUCAUGACAAAAAAAUGGUCUCGCAUAGCAUUUUUUAAAACUGAUAUUGAAAAAGAAAAGGACAACGGCUUGAAGGCAUUCAACUCCCCACCAUCACCCAGUUUCCUCUGAGAAUUCUUAACAGAAUAACAAUAAGAAAACAUAUGUUAUUGUGUCUAUUAUAUUUUGAUAACUACAACCUGUAUAGCUUCAGGGGACUUUAGCAGUGUGUCACAUUUAUAAAUAGGAAUGUAUCACUGUUAGAAUUCCGAACUUACACAAUUUCUUUGAUAGCUGAGGCUUAAUAUAGUUCUGUGUGUCAUUAAAAAUGAAAGCAAUGAUAGCAGGUCUUGAUUCUGACAUCUUGGCCUCUAGUGCCCAGUGGCGUAGCGUGGGGGGUGCAGGGGGGGCGGCCGCACCAGGCACAACAUCUGGGGGGGCGCUCGCACUCACAGCUCUCUGCCCCUACUAAAAUCCACGGGUUAGGGGGCGCAAAUUACUUGCCUUGCCCUGGGUGCUGACAACCCACGCUACGCCACUGCUAGUGCCUGAUGGUCCUACUGGUCUGCCACCAAAUUGUUUCAGCAUUCACUGAUAUGUGGAUCUUCACAGGGCCUUUUUCAGGCGGAACUCGCUGGAACUCAGUUCCUGCACCUCUCAGGUGGGCGUCAUUGUCAUUAUAAGAGAACAUGGGAAGAGUUCACAGUGAGUUCUGGUGCCUCUUUUUCUAGAAAAAUAGCACUGGCUCUUCACACAUUCCACAAGCUGUAUUCUAGUAUCUACCCCACCACCCACCCAGUAGCACACUGAUUUUCGCUAACCCUGGCAGUGCUUGCUUGAGAAACAUUAUGGGAUUUUGGUGCUACAUUUCCCCACUUCCUCCAUUGUUCUCUCCCCCCCCCAACAUACAUUUUAUUAAUUUUACAAAUAAAAAAUACAAAUAAACACACUUCGAUAAAAUCAUACUGUAUGUAAAGAUUCCCCAAAUCUUGCGACCCCCUCCCCCAAUCCCGUCCAUGGAGUCUUAUCUUAAAUGUCUACAACUGCAUAUUAAUACGUACUCCAGUUUUUAUAUCAAACCAUAUCAUCCAUGGUUUUUACACUACAAGUGAGUCAAAAUCCUGCUCUUGUUUCUAUCUCCUCACAGUGGUCUCCUGGAUAACUUAUAAUUUUCCCCCAUCCCCAAUUGUAUCCUCUUGGUUUCUGAGUUUUCCAGUCAGCUUUGCCAUCUUGGCAUAGUCCAUCAACUUGGUUUGCCAUUCUUCUCUGGUUGGGACUUUGUCAUCUUUCCAACUAUGGGCCAAUAACAUCCAUGCAGCUGUUGCUCCAUACAUACAAAAGUCUUUUCUGCUCCUUCGGAAUGUCUGUACCUGUAAUUCCUAAUAAAAAAGCUUCUGAUUUUUUAACCAAAGUUAUUUUAAACAUUUUUUCCCAUUUCAUUAUAUAUCAUCUCCCAGAAAGCUAUUUUUAUCUUACAAGCCCACCACAUAUGAUAAAAGGUAUCUUUUAUUAUUGUACUCAACCUCCAGGUCCCUUGCAUCGAUCCAUUGGCUUGUGAUCCCCUACUUUGUUUUGAUGUUUUGUUUCCAUUGUGUGUGCUUGUGGUUUUGGUGUGGUUUGAGUUGGCUCUGUUUGUUUGAGCAAAACUCAACUGAAUAAGAUGAUGUAUGAAAUUACCCUUGUUGCCCGUUCAGGCAGCCACUUCCCUGCACACCUGAAUGCAAAGCAAAGCUUCCUGCAAACCACUGUUUCCUAUUUUGUUCAAACCUGGAAUAAAGCCAGGCUGGUUUAAGAACAAGCCAUGUUGGUUUAAGAGCCCAUCUUGUUCUGAAGCUGGUAACCAUGGUUUCCUUAUUUGGACGAAAUAAGGACUAUGGCUAAUUGAAUACUUCCACAUUUUAUUUGGGUGUACCAUGAAGGGUGCUGGAAUGGUGCUGGAGGAGACUCUUGAGAGUCCCAUGGACUGCAAGAAGAUCAAACCUAUCCAUUCUUAAGGAAAUCAGCCUGAAUGCUCACUGGAAGGACAGAUCCUGAAGCUGAGGCUCCAAUACUUUGGCCACCUCAUGAGAAGAGAAGACUUCCUGGAAAAGACCCUGGUGUUGGGAGAGAUUGAGGGCACAAGGAGAAGGGGACGACAGAGGACGAGAUUGUUGGACAGUGUUCUUGAAGCUACCAACAAGAGUUUGACCAAACUGUGGUAAGCAGUGGAAGACAGGAGUGCCUGGCGUGCUGUGGUCUAUGGGGUCAUGAAGAGUUGAACACAACUAAACGACUAAACAACAAUGUAAUGAGUAUGGGUUGCUCGUGCGUAAGUUGCCGCCUCUCCUGGCUAUGUUGCCUUGUUAAACCUUUCUGUCUGGACAGCCCUUCACUUCGUGGCUGCCUCGGUCGCUAGCAGAAUCCGUCAGUGGGCGUUUCUUAAACCUUUUCCAACAUAAGAGUUGUUUGACGCCAAGUCUCCUCCUACUCUCCCUGCGUGGAAGUCUUCUGCGCAGGGAGGGCGUGGGUAGCGGGGGACCCGUGCUCUCCCUGCUGGUGUCCGGUGAAGAGUCCUGGAGCCCUCUCGCCGAUUCCCCCAUCUGCCCCCCUUUAUCCCUGGUGUUGCGCUGAUUUGCUUCCCCAUCUGCUGAGCUGCCUCUCUCCCUGCUGGGCCCUUCUCCAGCAUCAUUUGAGAGCCUUCCCUCCACCUCUAGCUCCGAUGUCAGUUCCCUGACAAACAACAACCAUGAAGGGAAAACGGAAAGGCUCAGUCAUAUCUUGGCAUAUUAAGCCAAGAUAUGGUUGUUCCUUAUGUAGUAUUUUUUUCCAGUAAAGAUGUAUUAAUAUUUAGGAGUAUAUGGCUUUACAUUCAAGCAUAAUUUUGGCAUUCAUGAAAUUAGAGUGUGUGGAGUGCUUAUAAGGAGAGAAGAAGGCUUGUCUUUUUGGAGUAUUUAAUCUGCAUGUUUCUAUUGAGCAAUGGAGUACCUACGUGUUAAUUUUGUAUGAACCUCCUUCUAGCUAGCAUGAAAUUCUAUGGUGUGUCUGUUCCAUGGAGCUGUUCCUGUGAGUUAACUGGGGCUGUUUUGAACUAUGGAAGUGACCUAUAAUAAGUCUAAGGGUCCACCUUCACGUUACACGUAGUGCAUUGUGUCUCUUUUUUAAAUUAAUAUUGGGGUCACAGCACAUGGGAAAGGGAGCUUUGUGCCUUCUCUCCCUAGCUGUGAAGCCCCAAAUAUCUCCCCACCUUUCAUGAUAUGUGUGCCAGUAGGCUCUUUAUCAUUCUCUUUUCGAACCUCAUAACUGCAUGAGGGUAGGCAGUAUCGGAGGGGAAAUGAAAAUGGGAAGGUAGGAGACAGAAGCUGAUAUGUGCUUUAAUCCAUUUUUAGCUUAACUGUUUAUUUUAUUUUUAUUUUUAAAAAACCAUACCUGCUUUAUUGACAGUUUUAAAGUUUUAGAAGGCCUUUUGUGUUCAUAAAUUGUGACUUUGUUUCACUUACGCAUUAAAACCAGUGUUAGAAACUGAGAUAUGAAAGCUAGGACCUAACUGUCGCCUUAAACCUAGGUUAUGGGUACAACAUCAGAAUGUCCAGGCACACAUUUUUUUUAUAACAAGAAUACAAAACUGAAAAUGAAUCUUCUUCUUUGGCGAUCACUCAUAGCCGAGUAAGAUUGUCUUCCAUAGACACGGUUUUAACAAUGAGUCUGUAAAUGACUGUGGAGGCCAAUUCUGGACCCACACGUCCUUCCACAGUGGGGACAUUGGUUUCUGGGAGGGAGUUGAUCACGGUGUGGAUUUGCCAAGUGUGAAAAUGAAUGAACUGCAGCUAAAAUAUUAUGUUCAUUUUUCACAGGAUCUAGUCCUGGGGUCAGCAAUUUUUUUCAGCAGGGGGCCGGUCCAUUGACCCUCACACCUUGUGGGGGGGCUGGACUAUAUUUUGAAGAAAAUAAAUAAAUGAAUUCCAAUGUCCCACAAAUAACCCAGAGAUGCAUUUUAAAUAAAAGCACACAUUCUACUCAUGUAAAAACAUGCUGAUUCCUGGACUGUCCGCAGGCCGGAUUUAGAAGGCGAUUGGGCCUGAUCCGGCCCCCAGGCCUUAGUUUGCCUCACCAUGAUCUAGUCCUUCCCCUGCCCACCCCCCUACUAUCCUUAAGAGGGUCUCAGAGAGUAGCUGGAAGUGGGGAGGCAGAAAAAGGUCCUCCUUUCCUUCCACUCUGCAGUUUUAAUCUGAAAUUUUAGACGCAGUCCUGCAUCCAGAGCUCAGAAACUGCUCAUGAAAUUCCCUGUCGCAAAAUGCGUCUAGAACAAUGGGAGUUUCGAAUACUAAUUAAAACCACCCGUUAUUGCGAUAUAUGGACAUGAUUCAAAGUUCUGUGUGCCAUUAUCCAUACAGGGUAACACUAUUUGUGUAGUGGAAAUUUCCAUGCCUAUGACAUUGGGUCUCAGAGCAGCUGCAUUUGUCCUAACCCCCAGGGAAUUGGGGUCAAUGUUGUCCCCGCCCUCCCCACCCCCAUCUGCAGUAUGCUACAGGGUGUGUAAUGGAGAAUAAUGAUAAAAAUAACAUCAUUCCAGGAACAAAAUUUAUGUGUCUCGGGUGAUUAUCAUGGUUUUGAAUUUGUCUCAUUGGAACAUCAGUCCCUGCAGCGCUAGAAUGCUUCCUGAUAUCAUGUGAGGGCUUUGGUUCAGAACAAGCUCACAGCAGAACGUCACCUCUUGAACUACUUGUGUAACUUGCUCUCUCCUAAGAAGUUUUCCCCAGACGUAUCUCGCUUUGCCUUUGAGGUUACUACUGAAACCCAGAAGUCUAAACAGAAAUAGAAUCCUGGCACAGAGCUCAAGGCUGCUUCCUGCAGUCUGCAAAUGGACUCUGGGAAUGUUCUGCUCUAUCUGUGAACAAAGACAUUGUGGGGACUAUUUCACCGAAUUUCUCCAGGGAGGGGAGAAAUUGCUUCAACAGUUUCUCAGGGAUGAGGCUCAUUAUUACCUGUGGGAGAAGAACAACUCCUUCCUUCGUCGCUUUCAGUUUUUUGUUGGUAACGCGAAGGGCAGCAGCAGCAAAUGUCUUGCUAGUCUAUCUGCCAUUUUGCAUUCUUCAUAAUCCUCCAUAAUGCAUUAUGGGGCACAUAUUGUAGCUGCUGGGGCAGGGUGUUAUAUUUGGAUAAAAUUGGGAAGUGGGAAAUCGAAGGUGAGAGGCGAAAGAAAAAUCUCAGAAGUUUCCUCUGAGAAAUCUUAGUUCAGCUCUAUCUGGAGCAAAUAUUCAGCAGUGAAAAAAGAAUUCCACUCCUAGAGCCCUACAUUUUAGGCUUUAACCCUAAAUACACUUUUUAGUGAGGGAAUCCCACCAAACACAGUAGGGUUUUACUUCUCAGUAGGACUUUCAUAGAAUCAUAGAAUCAUAGAGUUGGAAGAGACCACAAGGGCCAUCGAGUCCAACCCCCUGCCAAGCAGGAAACACCAUCAGAGCACUCCUGACAUAUGGUUGUCAAGCCUCUGCUUAAAGACCUCCAAAGACCUCCAAAGAAGGAGACUCCACCACACUCCUUUACUUCUAUGCAUGCACACAAUUGCAUUGUAAGCAGUUCCAAAAGUUACCAGGGUUAUAUGCAUGAACCAGCCUGGGGUGGGGCCAGAACUAAUCUGUAUGCUUUAGUUUCUAUUUUGUUAUAUUGUGAAAAGCGAUCCGUAUUGGUUGUUUGCUUUGGGGGCUGAAAUGUUUUUUGUUUUUGUUUUACACCACUAACUGCGCGUUUGCAUUUCUCUUUAGAACCAUAGGCUACAAAAAGAAAUACGUAAAGGUUCCCCAUGGCCACAUGUGGGUAGAGGGUGAUCAUCGCGGACACAGCUUUGACAGCAAUACUUUUGGCCCGGUAAGUCAUAACCAUUUUCUCCAUGUGUAUUUUAUACCACAUAAUAUACAGUAAUAAAAACUUGUGAGGAUUCGGUCCCCAAAAGUUUAUUUUAAAAGACAAAGUUCUGUAGGGGGCAGGCCAGUUUGUCUCAUCAUGCUGUUGCAGGAUGCGGGGAGAACUUUGACGUGUGUGGUUGGUUGUCUUGAUUAAGAACACUUAAAGCAGGGAUAAGAAUGGCUGCAGCUCCCAUAAUCUUUGACCAUUGACUAUGUCGGCUGGGAAUAAUGGUAGCUGGAGUUCAUCAACAUCUGGAGGACCACAGAUUCCCUGUCCUUGCCUUAGAUAAACUUAUUCCUACACUGGUAUAUCAGAACAGGUCCCGAGGGGGUACUGUUUAACAGCAGAAAAUUCUUAUCACUCUGAAAUAAUUGAUGCUGUAGGAGUUUUCUGACUUUGAGUACUAUUACUGUGGUUUGAUAUUUAUUUAGUGCCAACGGUGUGCUGGGAGCCAAGCAGGACACAGAAAAGCCCAGAGCUUUGUAUAAUAUACAUUAGGAAGACUUGCCUGGGACAGAGAUGAGGAGUUGACAAUGACAAGUGAGAUGGGAAUAUUGAAGCAGAGGCUGUGUGAUGCCCCUAAGAUAGUCUGGGAAGUCUUUUGAAUAGAAGUGGACCUUGCAGAGGGCAACUUAUAGGAAGGCAACUAUACUCUGUAAUGGCUGUUUCGACAUGGCGAUCACUUGAUUUUGUGAUUCUGGAAGGGAGGUAGCCAGGUGAACAGAGAUGAGAAGAAUAAUCAGAGAAAUGGAAAUGACAGAAGCCAUGGGUGAGUCUUUAUGGGGAAAAGCUAUGAUAAGAUGUGAUCUUCAGAGUAAAAUGGGUGAAGAAAGCAUGUAAGUCCAAAAGCAUUCAGCGCGCAAACUGUGUCUAGAUUCUCACGGAUGACAACAACAGCACUAGUCUAUUUUGAUAUGUGUGUUGUAGCUGGGAGCAGAUUGUUGGAAUUGGUGAUGGGUUUCCAGAAUAAGUAAACAAGAUGAUAUGCUUAAGAUGUAUUUGGAUGGAGAUUGGGGCCAUGGCAGAAGGGGCUAAAUAUGGAGGUGGGGGCAAUUCAGAGACAGAACAAACUGAAGGCAUUCCAGUCACUGUGUGACAUAAGCAAUUAUAGAAGACAGUGUGUCGUGCAUAAAGUAGCUAGCUGCUAGAGUGCCAAUGGAAAUGACACUGUACAGCAGGAUGCAUCCGUCUCAUUAAUGCUGCUUUAGGUGACAUUUUGAUACCCUGGUGUAUACCACUCCCUGUGUCACUGCAUAAAUGAAUGAAGGCCAUCAGUGCAUGCUAUGAAUUGAUGGAAAUGUCCUUGAGCACUCCAAUUUGUAGAUCAAGGUUCUGAAAGUGUACACCCUGCUCUUUGUGAAGCCUACUUCCCCACAUUGUAAUUCUUUCCUUUUUUUCCAUAAGUGUGGAAUGGACGAGCAAAAGGAAAAGGGUAUCGUGGUGGCAGAAGUGAAUCCUGUCUCCUAUUUUUCUUAUAACAAAGGUCACUCAAGUGCAAAAUGUUAUCUAUGUCAAAACUCUGAUUUUGGGGUACUAAUGCAUUUUCCCAUCAAACAGCAUGUAUAAAUACUAUCUUUGGAAGAUGGGUUGCAUUUAAGGCCAUCAUCUACUGACCUUCACGCUCCGCUGUCAAUUUUAGCCAAAGAGCUUCCAUAAUGUAGAUAAAGCCAGACGUGGUUAAACUUGUAGACAAGCAUAAUGAGCUUCAUGGGACACAGAUUGACAUGGUUGAAAAAAGAAUCACACACACACACACACACACACACACACACACACAAUGUUCUUUCCCCACUCCUUUAGGAUAUAGCCUUAAGAGAGGGACUGCAGGCUGGAACAAUAAGACAAUUGCACUGGGAUCAUUCAGAACCUACUGUGCCACAUUGGGAAAUGUAAAAUAAUUUAAGAUCAAAUAAUUAGGUUACUUCCUGUAUUUGUCUGAUAUUAUAGUUUACAUUAGGGACGUGGGUGAUGCUGUGGGUUAAACCACAGCCUAGGACUUGCCGAUCAGAAGGUCGGCGGUUCGAAUCCCCGCGACGGGGUGAGCUCCUGUUGCUCGGUACCUGCUCCUGCCAACCUAGCAGUUCGAAAGCACGUCAAAGUGCAAGUAGUGGCAGGAAGGUAAACGGCGUUUCCAUGUGCUGCUCUGUUUCACCAGAAGUGGCUUAGUCAUGCUGGCCACAUGACCCGGAAGCUGUACUCCGGCUCCCUCAGCCAAUAAAGCUAGAUGAGCGCCGCCACCCCAGAGUCAGUCACGACUGGACCUAAUGGUUAGGGGUCCCUUUACCUUUACCUUUACCUUUACCUUUAUAGUUUACAUUUUUGGAAUGUAAAAAUGAAGUUUCCUGGUAUUAAGACUGUGUGUGCAUUCUAAACAAUGUGUGGGGCAUGUGCUAAGUCCCCAUUUUUACUUUAAAAAAACCUACUUAAAAAGUAUUUAAUACUGUAAUGUUUGGGCUUAAUUAUUAUAGGAUCAGAAUAAAAAAAAAUAGUUAUUUUUAAGAAUCAUGAUGGAUAUCUGCAUUCUUUGAAACAAAAGUAGAGUACUACAGUAAUGUUAUACAAUGGGAAGAUACAGAUGUGAGGGCCCAGAAAAGAAAAAUUAGAGGAAAUUACACACCCAUGUCCUUUCCCCUUCACCCCCUUGGCCUUCACAUCUCAAUGAAAGGAAUGCAAGUCAGACUCUAGCCAGUAUUGGUCCCCUCCCCCCUUUUACCUAUUUCUUUUUCUAGAUAGGUAGAUGAUAGAAUGUUGUGUUUGUUAAAAAAACAAACAAACUAGGAUUCAGAACGAUGCAAUAGAAAGUGUGAUGCACUAAAAACAGGAACCUCUGAAAAAUAUAACUGGGCAGCUACAAAUAUAACUGUUAAUUACUUUGCAGCGCUAGACUGAAUUAAGAAAAGCAGGCUUAUUGUAUUUUAUUAUUUAGAGAAUAGCUUUGUUCUGUGCAAAGGAGCAAAUGUACUGUAAUGCUGUUACUUUGAUAUUGCCUGGUUUAAUCUAGAUUUUUAAACAAGCCGUCAAAGCUAUUUAUAAUGACUUUUUAAAAAAACCACCCUGUACUGAACUGCAGCCAAUAACCAUUAAAAGAACUUAUGGCUCCCCAUUCCUUUUCUUAAAAGUGGAAAAUUAUAUGUUGAGUGAUUUUGCUUCCAUUUGUAUAGUACUUUUCUUUAAAUUAACCCAUGCUUCUAGCAGGUUUUAGGAAACAAUAUUACAGUGUAGUUUAACUGGAAAACUAAUAAAGCACAAUUUUACUGAGGGUUUUGUAGGUUUGCUUUUGCCUUGGCUUAGUUUAGCAUGGCAGCCAUAAGGACUGAAGUGGCUGCAAGCUUGUCUCCCAGAGCAUGCACUGAACCCAGGCUUAGCUUAGCCUAUUGUGUGAACCAUGCCACUGAAUGGUUGCAGAAAGUGUUUGUGGUAGGUAUCACUUUAGAUGUGGAUGUAAGUGUUAGAAUUGCAGUAUCACACAGUAGGUGGAAAUAUGGCAACACUAGGAAAUCUAAACUAGAGCAUACCCAAUGAAUGGCUUUUCAGCCUUUCUUUGAAGACAUUCAGUGGUGCAAAACCCAGAACCACAUCAGGUAAUUCAUUCAUUUGUCAAACUGCUCUUAAGAUCAAGACGUUUCUCCUGGUAUGCAAUCAAAAUCUACCUUGUUGUAACUUUAGCUCAUUGGAUCUCAUUGUGUCAGUCUUUGCUCUCCCCAGUGUCAUAAUCCUUCAUGUAUUUGGAGAAAAUUACAAUGUCCCCUGCCCCUCAUUCAUUUCUUCUCCAGGAUAAACAUACUCAGUUCCUCCAAACUUUCCGCAGAAGAGUUGUUUUCCCAAACUGUGGAUGAUCUUCACUGCCCUCUUCUGAACCCUCUUUUUGUAAUAUACAGACUCUAUGGCCUUCUUAAAACGUAGCCUCCAGAGGUGGACACAGUACUUUAGAUGAAGUCAAAUAUGAGGUCUCAUAGAGAAAAUUCACCUCUUUAGCUAUCACUAUUGCACACUUUAUACAUUCUCCAAGCACAGAGUCCACAGGUGCUUUAUGAAAGUUGACCCGAAACUCAAAUUUCACUGACAUCGUUGUCUGUAGUUUUGUUUGCUAUGUUAUUGUGGAAUUGCUCUCAGACAGUCAAAUUACCAGUGCAGUCUCCAAACUAUUUGCACUGGUGUACUGAGACUAUAUUGGUUCUGUUGAAGUAGGUCAAAGUAAACCUCAUUAAUCUGUUUUAUGAACUGAACUCUGAGGAAGUAAUAAAAUUUAUUUAAAAAACCCUUUGGGUGUGUGUGUUGAUGAAUUCUAGAUUUUGGAGUUGAUUUUUCUAUUUUAGAGGUUUUUCACAUAACUUAAAUUUGCAAAAAAAAUGUCUCACAUUCAUGAGGAAUUUGAGGCCAAGCCUGUUUAAAGGGGCCUCAUGUAUGUGUACUUAGCCCCAUCUUUCAAUAUGAAUUCCUCCUGCCCCUUUUUGUGUUGAAAAUAAUAUCUGCAGUGUGGUGCUUUAUUCAUCAGGGUUCUGAAUUCCAUAGGUAACCUCCAUAGAGAAGACUCCUUGCUGCCAGUAUUCCUCUCAAUGUGAUAGUAGUGGCAAUGGAUGGAGCAGGAUGAAAAAUUCAACUUUGAAAGUGGGGUUAUCUGUGUAGCCCUGGCUGAGUCCUUUCAAUAGGCUUGCCCUCUAUGUGCAACUAAUGUGUGAAGAGGACCCUAUUGUGUUACAUGUUCUAUACAUAAUCCAUCUGAAGGUAUGUGGCUAUCUCAGCUGAAGUUGGCAAUGUAAACAAUGUUUCGUGUGGUUACAUUGCCACUAGUCAAGUUGCUCACUAAAAUACUGUGCUUGAGCACAUGAACUAAUGUGCCAUAAGGGCAUUUAAAUAAUGGAGAAUCUUUCCUCCUGGAGUAAUAACAGUUUGCCCUGGCAAGUGGUUUACUGCAAGGCUAUGAAAGUUGGCAAACCUGAUGAGCCAGGUAGGCUAGCUGUAUAAGUAUGAACUUCAACCAGGGGUGAAACUAGGCUUUAUUUCACCCUGGUCAAAGACCCAGUUUGGCAGCCUCCCAUGUGCCACAGAAAUAAAGGCUACCAAACAAAAGAGAGAUAAAAACUAAUAACAAAGAGAAUAGAAAUCUGACUGGUGUUGAGAAAAGAAUAAGAGCAAUUCUAGCCAAGAGAUCAUCAGACCCUUUGGCGAACUUUUCUGGCAUGUCUCUGACCUCUUCCAGAGAAGGCUUAAGGGGACCCAAGGGAUUGUUGAAGGGGAAGAAUUACUGAUUACGUUUCUUCACAGAUCUUGGAAGCUAUAACAUACAGUAAUGGGGAAUGUAAAUAUCCUUGAUGCGUUGUCUUAUUGUGGAAAUUUGAGAGCUAUUUAUCCCUCUGCACUCUUAUAAACAGAAAAUAUAAAUCCCUCUUCAUCUUAUCCACAACUGCAUUUCAGAUUAGAUUCAGUGUUACUUAACCAGAAUACAGCUGGAAAACAGUAAUAUACUCAGAGUCCAAAAAAAGAAGUGUGCAUAAUUUUAUUUAAAUUUCAAAGGGACUGGUGGGCAUGCAAAAAUUAAAUAGCAGAAACAAAACUAAAAUGAAAUCUUGCUUUCAGGCAAAACUCAUGGAAAAGUGAUUUAGUGAAAAAUGAUUGCAUCCUGAAUUGCAGCAUAUGGAUGGACUCCCUUUAUGCCUUUCCAUUUCUGGAAUGGCCUUUGAUCCACUGGGUCUAAAUCUGUUUCGGUUGGCAGGGGGAUCCUUCAGAACAGUGUAGAGGAUGGUGCGGAAUGGGUUGGGGACUGCUAUGGAUUGGAGAAACCAGGCAACCUCAUCCCUGUUCUGCUUUCAUAAAUGUACAAAUAAAGUUUAUUAGUCAUAUUCACCUUGUUUGCACACAUCAACUGUUAGGUUUCCGAUCUUUGUCACUUAUGGACAGCUUAUCAGUGAACUCACACACCCUGGCACAAUCUGAACAUCGAAAGCUGCCUUAUAUGGAGUCAUAUAUGAUUUAUUUGGAAUAUAUAAAGGUUCCUUGUAUGGAAUCAGGGAAUUGCUCCAUCCAGUGUAGGGCUCUUUGCUUAUGGGAGCUUUCCAGGUUCAAAGACAACCCCCACCUCCACUUCCCCGCAUCUAAGGUUAUCUUUUGGGAUUCCAGGCCUGGGAUCUUCUGGUUGCCAAGCAAUGUGCGAUGGACAGUGCUCUAAAACUAUCAUACAACAGGGGAACUCUCUUAUCGAGAAGGCACAAUCAGUUGUGCACGUCGAUUCAAAACCUCAUUCCCUUGCAUCUUAAUUGGGCCAGGGAGGAAAACUGUUGACAUACCAUCACCACUGGCCAGUCAAAGCAACAGAGGAAGUUGUGUGCCUGAUUUUAUUUAUUUUAAACAUUUCAAAAAGCUCCUGGAGCUGCUUGCAUAAAAAUCAAUAAAAACAAGACAGUCCUUGCCCACAGGCUUAGAAUUUAGAAGACCUGAUAUGAAGAUGGGGUGGGGGAAGGAUGAGGAGGAAAGAAGAAAAUGAGUCAACUCGGGCACCAGUUCGUAAAGUUUACAUAGUAGUUCUUGUCAUCGGGAGCAACUUUCUUUUGCCCACAUUUUACUUAGAAGAGAGGAAGGCUCAUAUGAUUUAUUGUGUUGAAAUCUCUGAGUUGAGGUAAUUUUCCAUCUGGCCCAAUCAAAUCAUGCCAGAAGGAGCUAGCUAGAGAGAUAAAAUCUGCUCCCUAAAUGGGAGGAUAUGUGAAACGCACAGGCAGUGUUUUUCCAUGCAGCUUGUAGCUUUUGAAGAACGCACAGUCUCAAAGCUGCACAGAAUGGAUAUGUACAUGGCAAACAAAUCCACGAGGAGUAAACAAAAGAGAUCGAGAAUGUAUCAAGCGUUGGAGAGCUUCUUGCAAUGGUCAUCACAGAUCGUAGCGUGUAGAACACGGUGUUCUGUGAAUAUCUAAAUGUGAAUGUGCAUCGCAGGCUGAAGGCAUUCACUUAUUUGAAGGGUUUAGUGCAAAGCAGUCUCAUUAAGGAGUGUGUGAAAUUGCUGGAGCGCCUAAAUGGUUAGCUCUGCUUAUAGAUUUCCUGCUCUGCCCAGACUGUGAUCCCAAAAGGCACUAAGCAAAUCUUGCAGGAUUAAGCACGAGAAGUGAAAAAGGCUGUUCCAGGUGGCAGUGGCAGGACCUGGGAGAACUGACAGAGAAGACGCACAUAUCAAUCUGAGCUAUCGUAACCAAAGCAGGGCCUUAUGAAUGGAAGAGCCCUGUCAUUCAAGUGAAGUCGCAAUGAAUUUAAAGGGAUGGCGCUCUGCUAUUUCUGGAUGGCCACUGACCGUGUCCACUGCCAUUAGGGACUCUUAGGAGAGCUAACAGCCACUGGUGGCAAGUGGACUGAUUCACACUCUUCGCCAGAAAAGUCGGAACUGUUAUUUCUGGUUUCUGAGGGUACUAGCUAGGGCUGUGCACCAGAUUUGCCUGAGGCUUUACCCAAAUCAGGCAUAUUUUGUGGGGAUUUGGAUGAGCCGGGGUCAUACACCUACAGUAUGAGGGAUGCGGGUGAUGCUGUGGUCUAAACCACUGAGCCUCUUGGGCUUGCUGAUCAGAAAGUCUGUGGUUUGAAUGCCCAUGAUGGUGUGAGCUCCCGUUGCUCUGUCCCAGCUCCUGCCAACCUAGCAGUUUGAAAGCAUGCCAGUGCAAGUAGAUAAAUAGCUACCACUGUGGCGGGAAGGUAAACAGCAUUUCUGUGUGCUCUAGUUUCCGUCACAGUGUCCCGUUGCCCCAGAAGUGGUUUAGUCAUGCUGGCCACAUGACCCGGGAAGCUGUCUGUGGACAAACGCCGGCUCCCUCAGCCUGAAAGCGAGAUGAGCACCACAACCCCAUAGUCGUCUUUGACUGGACUUAACCAUCCAGAGGUCCUUUACCUUUACCUUUUACCUUACAUACAGACUGCUGUGAGUUGGGUUGGACUGGCCCAGAGUGAUCCACAGCUGCCAGUGGGGUGCAGCAAUAGGCAGCAAAUAGAGGCAGGCAGGGUGGGAAAAAACCAGAGAGUUACCUGACCUCCAGUGAGGACCUCCGGUGAGAUAGUAGGCCCAAUACCAUGACUCUCCUUCCUGCCUGACAGCCUGUUGAGCAGAGGCAUUGUUGCUGUUCCUUGGCAUGGUCCUGUGAACCUCUUCACCUUUUAAAAACUUUUUCUUAACUGUGUGUUAAAAUAAAGGUUUAAAACUCAGGAGCAGAUAAGAAUUUUUAAAAAUACACAAAUACAAGGGCAUUUGAAUAAUGGAGUUUUGAUUGGUGGUGUCACAGAAUGGCUUUUGUAGGUGACGGAGGUGGUAAAGAUAGCUUGAUAAUUUUUUCUACUUCUCAGUUUGGCUUGGAAAAAUAAUCUUGCCAGAUAAUUUCUGGUGCUAACUUUGCUACUAAUUAGUUGAAAUUGGCAAGUUUUUCCAAUGUCCUAACUGGUAACCUCUCUCAUUCAAGCAGUUUUUAUUCUUGGAAUGCUACAUAAAUUCUUUUUUCUUACAUUGGCCUUUGGCCCUUCCAACUCUCACAAAAAAUCUUUUUGCUACAUCUUGGCUCUUUGACACACUUAUAUCAUAUAAUUUUAUUACCGCCGAUUCUCAAGUUAACCUUCCUUAAGCAUCAGCAGUUCAGUUGCAUUUCGCAAAGCUAAAAGGUACAUCAUGUUGAAACCCUUUCUCCGAGCUAUAUCUAAAAACACUGUAUGUGAGAUAAUCUUUGCUGUCCUUAAUUUAUGAAAAUGCAUGCUAUCUUCCUGCUGUUUUCUGCAAAAGAAUAUACAUGCAAAACGUUAAAAGUUAUGUCAGCAGCACAUUAAUUCAUUUCAAAAUGGUUGAGGUUUCAGAAUGGUUAGGUCACUGCUAGAGAUAGGAGAGAAAUUUGAUUCAGUUUGAAUUUAAAGGCAGAUUCAACUAGUUCACACUUUUCAAAAUAAUACACAGACUGAAACAAUCAUUCUCCAAAAAUAUUUCCUGAAUUUUGCAAUGCAGUUCUUCAGCCAAGUUAUGUCUAUAAAAAUGCAUAUAAUAAGGUAAAGUGUACAUAAAAAUGCAUAUAUUCAUGGGAAAUGACAUACAGAAUGCAUUAUAAUAUGGAGAGCUUAAAUAUUAGGGGAAAUAUGUUUUAUCAAAAGUGUGCAUAUCAGCCAAAAUUACGUAAACAAUGAUGUACUGUUCCCAUUGCUGUUUUGCCACAGACAAAUAAAAUUGCUCAUAAUAAUGUGCAUCCCAAGAAAAAUUCCACCCAAAAUGCUGAUGAAUUUUCAUGAGUACUUAAAAAAUAAUUUUAAAAAACUGACUUGAAAAUGUAGCAAAUUGAAUUUAAGAUUGGAAAAUGAGAAAUUGAGAGAACUGUUGUGCCUGGGUACACAGAGAGAGACCUCACUGGGCUUCUUGCACCAACUAGAGAACGUCAGGCAGGAGCGUUCUCCCCCACAAGUGACCCUCGGGAAGAUCCAUCACUCUUCUUUUCUGACAUGCUUCUGCGACACACAUCCAAAGAUAUGUGCACACAAUACAAAAGCAGAGUCCAAGCAGAAGCUAGGCAUUGGAGGUGUGGAUUUUUAAGCUACUUUAUUAUGUACAAAACAGAACAAAGGAAAUCAUGGCUCCUCUCUCCUUCUUCAUCUCCAAGAGAGAAGAAAAGCAAAAGUACGACAUAACGGAACAGUGUAACUGAACUUCCGUUCACAUGACUCCAACAGUAUGGAAUGUCAACACAGACAUGUGAUGAAAACAAUCACACAUCCUGCAACGGGAGGAAUGAAAUCCCAACAAGAACCAGCAUUGAUAGAUCUGCCCCUCCUUGGUUGUGUCUUUCUGAUCUGGAAAUUCUGGUGUUGUCAGAAAACAAAGUAUUCAAAUUAACCCGUCUCACUUUUCUUCCAAGCUAACUCACGUUCAAUAGUUGAGUUCUUUUUGCAAAAAUCCAGGUGGUCUUCUAUAGAAUAUGGGUUAAUCAAGAUAUUUAGCCUAAUCUUUUAAAAAAUAAAAUAGUACUACUUCUAUAGUGGUUGUAAGUACUCAGAUUUAUGGUGUUAUAGCUCUCUGUCAUGGUUCUGCUUUUCCCAAUCUAAAUGACUCUGAGCAAUUGCUCUCCUUUUUCAUUCUAGCAGCUUUGAAAAUAUUUCAGAGCAUGUCCCUAUUAAUCUCUUUUUCUCUAGGCUAUGCACAUGUUUUCAGGUUUUCCAUAUCUAUUUUGCCUCCCCGAACCACUGUUAUGCCUAAAUGUGUGAUACCAUGGCUAGCUAGUAUAAUUUACCAAAGAACACGGGGCUGCUUUAUAAAACACUCUUUUGUUGGGUUCCCCCCUCUCUUUCCUGGGAUAUAUCUCUCUCACCCACACACGUGGCUACACAAGAAAUAGUAUUAUUUCAGAGGUGUGGAAUUUGCCAAGAAAGAUUUGCAAUGCUGGUAUUGUUUCACAAAACAUGCUUUCAAUGGUUCCAACUGCUCUAUGAAUUUAAUAACUUAAGGAAGUGUGCGUCACAAUUUCAGCAGUAUUUAAUAUGUUAUUCUCUUGCUUCCUGUUCAUCGCUGUUGAAUAACUGCAUCCUAAACAGGUUCUAACUCUAGGGAAAACUAAGGGCCAAACUAACUGGUGGGGCCAACACCUUUUUGUAAUUUUGAAUCUUCCCUGUUCACUGAUAAGAUGGGGCUAAUAUACAGUUCAUAUCCAAAGAGGUGGGCACAUGGGGAAUUGAAGCCUCCCUUUACUUAGGGUUGCCAUAUUUCACAACAUGAAAAUCCGGACAAAAAAGUUGUUUAAGUUUGUGAGCUUUUUUUUUUUUAAGGGAAUUCACACACACACAAAAAGCCCACUUCUGAUAUGGGUUGCCAUUUGGCUGGGUUUUCCUGGCCAUUUUCACCUAUUUUCUGAAAUUCCACCCAGACACUAUUUCCAACAGACAAAUCCUGGAUAUAUCUGGAAAAUUCCAGAUAUGGCAGCCCCAUUAACACCCCAUGCUCAUUUGCUUCAGUCAAUUUACUCCCAGUCUACACCACUUCCACGGUCAGAGCAAGGGUAGGAAAAAAGAACAUUAUACUUUGGACUCAGCCCUUUCUCACCGGUGUUUGUUUCUAAUCUGUUUCUGAGCCCAAUUCAAGAUGCUGCUUCUGACCUAUACAGACCUACAUAGCUUGGGAAUUCAGAACCUUGUUGUUGUUGUUUAGUCGUUUAGUCGUGUCCGACUCUUCAUGACCCCAUGGACCAGAGCACGCUAGGCACUUCUGUCUUCCACUGCCUCCCGCAGUUUGGUCAAACUCAUGCUGGUAGCUUUGAGAACACUAUCCAACCAUCUCGUCCUCUGUCGUCCCCUUCUCCUUGUGCCCUCCAUCUUUCCCAACAUCAGGGUCUUUUCUAGGGAGUCUUCUCUUCUCAUGAGGUGGCCAAAGUAUUGGAGCCUCAGCUUCACAAUCUGUCCUUCCAGUGAGCACUCAGGGCUGAUUUCCUUCAGAAUGGAUCGGUUUGAUCUUCUUGCAGUCCAGCGGACUCUCAAGAGUCACCUCCAGCACCAUUCAGAACCUAAUGGAAUGCUUUUUCCUUUAUGCCUUAAGAUAGGGUUAGUCAACCUGGUGCCCACCAGAAGAUGUACUCAAAUUUCCAUAAACCCCAGCCAGCAUGAUCAGCAGUUCAGCAAUAUUUGGACGGAACCAUGUUGGCUAACACUGGCUUAAGGUUAUCUAUUGAAGUCCUUCACUACAUGCCUGUCUGUAGCUCAGCAGUUUAUCAUGAGAGGGUCUUUUUUGGUGGUGGUCUCCGAGCUAGGAAUGUUCUCCCUAGGGACGUUUGUCUGGUUGCCUGCAUUGUUGUCUUCUCAGUACCAAGCUAAGUCUAGCAUUUUUGUUUCCCCAUGCCUUUUUAAGAUCGUGUUUUAAGUCUGUUUUGUAGCUGUUUUCAUUUCUGUGCUGCAUGUGGUAUUUUAUUAUGCUAGUUUGGUGUUUGGGGCUUUUGGCUCGCUUGUUUCUUGCAGCUUUUUAUUCAAGUUUGUUUUCAUUGAGAUGGUUAUUUGUGUGUGAGCAGCCCAGGACCUCCACACACACUGCCCAGGCUUGCGCCCCAAGGAGGUCAGUUUGGUCUGCUAAUGCAGUGGUCUGACUUCACCCCCAGAGGUGCACUCCAUUGUCUCUGAGACAGACUGAUGCCAACAACAAAAUUGUGUGUGUUUGGUAUGAUAUCUAGAGACCUUAUUAUGAGAUGCCUUAUAAAAACAUACAAUAAAUACUUAAAUAUCAAGCAUGACUGCCCCAAUCACAUCUUGCUUGAUCUUGAGAAAGGAGAAUUUGCCAGUUUUGUAAGAUUGCUCAAAUACAAUGAUAAAGAGGAAAUUUUUAAAAAGAUGAAAUGAACUGUAAAUGGUCACAGUACGUAAUGGAAAGGGAAAGAGAAUCAUAUCAGCUGAUAACACCUGCUUUUAAAAAAAUGUCUUGCAACCCCUUCUGGGAAUCUCAGGCCACUGAGAAUUAGCUGAACUUAGAUCCAAUUGAAUUAAAUCAGUUGCACUUAGAUCCAAUUGAAAUCCAAGUCAUUACUAGUUUUUCACAUUGAUUUCACUGGGACAGGUUAGAUCUAACCCUGAGUAUAGAAUCAGUUUCUUAACCUCCUUCAGAAGGAGGUUCCAUUGGGGUCAUGACCCUAAUGGUCAAGCUUCUAGUCACUGCUGUCUUGAACUUCCAUAAAGAUAAGACAGUGAAUGGUGCUUAUUAACUAGACUUCUAACCAGAUGGAUCAUCCUUGAAUGUUUGGCAUUGCUCUCUUAUCACAUUAGGAUGGGAAACCUGUAGCCUUCCCAAUGUUGUAGGAUUAUAACUCCCAUCAUCUACGGACAUUGGUCUUGCUGGUUUGGGUGACGGAAGUUGAGGUCUGUCAACAUCUGGAGUUACCAGAGGGUCCCCAUCCCUGCACUAAAUACUCAGCCGCGUUAUCCAGAAAAAGAAGUUUGGCUGCUAUCUGAAUAUGGGCGGUAUCUUUUUAGUUCAAACAGAGUUCUGUAUUGCUUUUGCAAUAGUAGCACCAGUUUUCUGGGGUUAUGCAGUCUCCUAACAAGUUCCUAAGAGAACCUGUGUGUGUGUGUGUGUGUGUGUGUGUGUGUGUGUGUAAGGCAGUAAAUAAGGGAGCAGAAAUAACUACUACUACUCCUUCAUACUGAAUAAAACUCGGUGCAGUUGUAAGGUUUAAUUAUGGUAGUGAAGAAGAGACUUCUUUCACCAGACCAGACAGGACUGUAACAUUGUCCAUGUCAUCAUUUCAGAUAUGACCAAAAUGGAGAACCUAUUCUGUACUCCCAUCCUGUCUCCUAAAUGAUGUUGAUGUCCCUUUUUCACUGAAGAAUGCCAUCCAAAUAAACUCUGGCCUUCUAAGCAGUUCACUGGAACUGUAAAGAAAACUAAGCCUCAGCACAGAUUAACUUCCUGUUUCAUCAUUGAUUCUAAACAGCUGGGAGUAUAUAUUCAACACAAUAAUAUCAAUUUGUUAUAUACAAAUGUUAUACAAGUUUAAGUUUCCGGUUCCUAUUCCGGUUUAACAAAAGCUAUCUGUCAUUAAUGUUGUGUAAUCUGGUUAUUCUGUGAAGGAUUUAAAUUAGUCCCCAGAAAUCUGACACCAUUUGAUUUUAAAGGCAUAAUUGAAGGGUUGGGUAUCCCCCCCCCUUAAAACAAAAAUGAAAAACUCCUCUGAGAAGCAUCUCUGUUUUUGUAAGAAACUUUGAUAGUGGAAGUCCCCUGUGAGUACAUUUUAAAAUAUACACAUUUAAAAGUAGAUUGAGACCUUCUCUAGAGAAUCAAGUAGAGUGUAUUUUAAAGUGAAAUUCUGUUCCAGAGAAGAGUAAACUUCAUCUAUAUUUUUAUUCCCAGGAUGAAAGAAUCUGUCUCCGAUAUCUUCAGUUACCCCGACUUGCAGACAGAAGUAAAUUUUCUUGAUUUACACCUUUUUUUUGCUCCAAAGGUGUUGCAUUGCCAUCUUCUAAAAUAAAUUUAAAAAUCUCUUGCAAAA